ACGAUUGCGUCACGUAUUUCUCACAUCAUGUAUACUGGCUUCCCUGCAAUAGCAUUCUAUAUCACUCAUUUGGUUAUAAUAUGAUAACGGAGUGCUUUGUCGUGUCUGAAAAUCAUUCUUUUCGCGUGAAAAAGUUCAUGAUUUAUUGUUGGUAAUAACAAUUGGCUCAUCGCAACGAAAACCUCAUUCCAUGCAUAAGAAGAAAGACGGUGAAUCGAGGCUGGGAAGCUGGGGAGUGCAGAUGCAUCCGGUCAAAAUGAUAUUGUAGAGUGAGCGAGAGCGACCGUCAAUUGUAACUCAUUAGCUGUAGCAGCAUGUGACUACCCGCAAGGCUUAUACACCGAAGGUCAUCGACCGGCGAUCCCCUUCACCUUUUCUUGACGACUUGCCGGGGUGACGUGCGUGAAUGAGUGAGACCGAAAAAAAACACGCAAAGACGGUAGAAAUAAAAAGGAUAACGUGUUAGUUCCGGUGGCAGUUCCAUUGUUAUGCAACUAUAAUUUCCGUAUAUUUAGUGCACACUUUCAAAACUCAUGCAUAUUAUAAAUGUUAUGUAGCGUGAUCUUAACAUUUUGAAAAUGAGGCGGUAAACAUUUCGUAGCACGGUACAGUAUCAGUUUACUAUAAUGGAAGAACUUCAAGUUUUGUUUACAGCUGUAAUAGAUCAUUGAAGUGCUUAACACUUGAAGAUUAAUCAACUGUACACGCUACGUAGGCAAAACGUAUCGUUGUACGUAUGUACAACACACACAGUCCCUAAUACGUUCAUGUGAUAUCUGAAUGUGAUAUCAUGAUUAUGUCAUCCUUGUUGUCAUUUUGCUUGUCGUAAAAUCUAUAUAUAGUGUGUAAUCUGCACAGGCAAGUGUUGGAAAUGAUCAUCGUGCGAUCGGAAUUGUAAAUUAUAUGUGAAAAGUGACGUGACGGCAACCAUGUUGGUUUCAUGCCAGCGUUUUAAUUUGUCCAUCGAACAUUUAAAAAUAAACUUUUUCGCCAACCUCA
rnacentral:lncRNA from 1 species